rnacentral:rRNA from 1 species
GACAGAGGAUGCAAGCGUUAUCCGGAAUGAUUGGGCGUAAAGCGUCUGUAGGUGGCUUUUUAAGUCUGCCGUCAAAUCCCAGGGCUUAACCCUGGACAGGCGGUGGAAACUACCAAGCUGGAGUACGGUAGGGGCAGGGGGAAUUUCCGGUGGAGCGGUGAAAUGCGUAGAGAUCGGGAAGAACAUCGGUGGCGAAAGCGCUCUACUGGACGGCAACUGACACUCAGGGACGAAAGCUAGGGGAGCGAAUGGG